rnacentral:rRNA from 1 species
AACGAACGCUGGCGGCAGGCCUAACACAUGCAAGUCGAACGCCCAGCAAUGGGAGUGGCGCACGGGUGCGUAACGCGUGGGAAUAUGCCCUUGACUACGGGACAACGUCGGGAAACUGGCGCUAAUACCGUAUAAUGACUCCGGUCCAAAGAUUUAUCGGUCAAGGAUUAGCCCGCGUUAGAUUAGCUAGUUGGUGAGGUAACGGCUCACCAAGGCGACGAUCUAUAGCUGGUCUGAGAGGAUGAUCCGCCACACUGGGACUGAGACACGGUCCAGACUCCUACGGGAGGCAGCAGUGGGGAAUAUUGGACAAUGGGCGCAAGCCUGAUCCAGCCAUGCCGCGUGUGUGAAGAAGGCCUUCGGGUUGUAAAGCACUUUCAGUAGGGAGGAAGCGUUGUGUGUUAAUAGUACACAGCGUUGACGUUACCUACAGAAGAAGCACCGGCUAACUCUGUGCCAGCAGCCGCGGUAACAC